AGUAAAUAGAUCCUGGUAGUCCACGCCGUAAACGAUGUCGACUUGGAGGUUGUGCCCUUGAGGCGUGGCUUCCGGAGCUAAACGCGUUAAGUCGACCGCCUGGGGAGUACGGCCGCAAGGUUAAACUCAAAUGAAUUGACGGGGGCCCGCACAAGCGGUGGAGCAUGUGGUUUAAUUCGAUGCAACGCGAAGAACCUUACCUACUCUUGACAUCCAGAGAACUUAGCAGAGAUGCUUUGGUGCCUUCGGGAACUCUGAGACAGGUGCUGCAUGGCUGUCGUCAGCUCGUGUUGUGAAAUGUUGGGUUAAGUCCCGCAACGAGCGCAACCCUUAUCCUUUGUUGCCAGCGGUUAGGCCGGGAACUCAAAGGAGACUGCCAGUGAUAAACUGGAGGAAGGUGGGGAUGACGUCAAGUCAUCAUGGCCUUAC
rnacentral:rRNA from 1 species